rnacentral:rRNA from 1 species
UACGUAGGGGGCAAGCGUUGUUCGGAAUUACUGGGCGUAAAGGGCGCGUAGGCGGCUCUGCAAGUUAGGAGUGAAAGGCCUGGGCUCAACUUGGGAAUUGCUUUUGAAACUGCCGAGCUAGAGUGCGGAAGGGGCAACUGGAAUUCCCAGUGUAGCGGUGAAAUGCGUAGAUAUUCGCAAGAACACCAGUGGCGAAGGCGACUCACUGGACCGGUACUGACGCUGAGGUGCGAAAGCGUGGGGAGCAAACAGG